CUGAUGAUUUUGCCAGUGGUUGUUCAAGCGCAUGGCAUUCAGCUCAUUCUGAUUCUCCUCUUGCCUCUGCAGCAGCUUCUUAAAGACUUCCAUCUGAACCUUCUGCAACCUGCAAGGAAAGAAAAGAGUUCGGAACAUGAGGCCGAAGACCUGGCUGUCUCUUGCACCUGACAGGACACGUAGCUUUGUCCUAAAAAGAGAUGCAAGAUGGAAGAUUGAUCACAUUCAUUUAAAAAACCUCCAUGCAAACAAAGCAGAAGCAAGUCAGUCCAAGGCGAGAGUGUUAAAUGUGUUUUGGUUUAUCUUAACAUUACUCCCAUUGAUGUUAACUCCAUUAUCUUUGGUAAAAGCAGAUGGAGGCUACACUGAGUCUGAAAUACAUUCCUUAAGUAAAUAAUCCACAAAUCUUCUAGUUUCAACUCUCAUGAUUAUUACAUACAAACCUUCCCUACCUAUCCAUUCUAAAGCAUUGCAUUUAAUGGACAUAAAAUUGUUAAAGUACCAUGAAGUAGGACUGCUUCAAUUUUAUUUACAUGUUUCUCUUUCCAGCAAUUCCAGAAUAAAAAAUUAAUUCUGAUAUAACCACAUGCAAUUUCAUUGACUCCACUAGGAAGUGAAUUUUAUUAUGUGACUUCAAAAUUUGAUACUCUCUGAAAACUACAUUAGAAUGCAUUACUUAAACUCUACAUCUCUGAGUAGCAUUGCAUCACAGUGAUUGUAAUAAAAUACCAGAAGAUUUUCCAACAAUAUUGCUCUACUAGAGAAUCUUCUUUGCAAUGGUAUAUCUUCUAGAAUUCAGAGACAUCUAGCUUUCUGUUUCAAGCUUCACAGUCUUAACACACCAGAAGCACAUCCCUUAGUCACAAAGCACUACUUACAUACUGCAAGCAAAUUCUGAAACAGUCCAUCAUCUAUUUCCUCUAGAAUUCUCAAUUAUGAGAGCAGCACCUUACCUCUUAACAAGCUUUUCCUGUUGGUUCAUUAUGAAAAAUAGUGGUCACCAAGCUGGUGACCAAAUAGUUGCCUGAUCUUUUCUGGUGAGAUGUUACCCAUUUCAACAGUAAUUUUCUAAAAGUCACUACUUACUCUGUCUUUUUAUCAGCAACAGCUUCUGGAACACUUGCUGGAGGCAGCUUAGAAGAGCUGAGAGGUGUAAAGACAGAAUGAAAGUCAGACAACAAGGGUAAGCCUAAAAGAUCAUUAUGGUUCAGAAAAACUGCAGUCCACUAAAUUCAGUGGAGUUAAUACUGAUUAUCUACAACUGUGGUUCUGUUAGUUCCAUGUUUAGGAAUUAUGCCUAAAUAUGAAAUAACUCUUUCAUAGCUAAGGAGGAACAGAGGAAGUUUCACCAGUAAACACCAGGACUAAAUGUUAUUCUUAUGAAUAAGUCAAAGCAGAAAGUGGAGUUGCAAAACAAGACAAAUACUAAAGUUAUUUUUGAGUGUGUUCCCAAUAUUUUGUGUAUGUUUCACUAAUUAGCUUAAUUUUUUCACUUCACCUCCACUUUUUUGAAAGAGUAGUGGGUUUUUUUAAUAAUUGCUUGAAGUCCUGAAAUUCAUUCCUACAAUCAGCUGAUAAGCUAGUUUGGACUUAUCUAAUUUUAUUGUUUCAUUUUUUGCAAUACUUUAUGAGGUAUCUUGAAAGUGAUUUGGGCUCAACUACAUAUUAAUAAUUCCUUCCUAGGCAUUCUUUUAGUUUGCAUAUUGCAGCUUUCUAUCUAUUUCCCUUAGCCUUUGGGAGACUUUGAAGCUUAAUUUCAUAUUGCAGAAGAUAACCUCAUCUUUGUUCUUUUAAAACUGUUGAUGAAAAACCAUAAUAGACUUCAAUUUAUUAAACUUAGCAAAUUUUUUAUAUUUAAAGUGGAUACAUUGGCCAAUAGCUGCUGAGUAAAAUAGUGAAUGCAAUUCAAAGUGUAUGUGACUAAGUCAAGAAUGUUUAUAUGGUAGCUGUUGGUUCAGACCUUGAGUCCAUUGCUGACCUGCAGUGUCUUUGUGGAAGGAGCGGAGCAGUUCUACAGUAAGGGAUAUGGAUGAGAAGUUAAUCAAGGCUUCCCUUUGGUCCCUUUCUGCUCCUGGCAGAAACUGGGAGUUAAAAGACUCCUUCUUAAGAAAACACCUUUCUAGAGGUCUGGAGAAUCACACUGGCUUUGUAAAUAUCUUCUUCCUUUGCACAGGAUCAUCUACAGCCCAAAGCUUUCUUAUUAAGUACAGAAUGUCUGAUACGUUUGCUUAUAUGGUAACUCAUAACUGAAAAUUCUGUCAUAGUGUGAAUUUAGAAAGACCUUGUGUUUUAAGACCUGGUUACUAUUAAAAUUUUCUAUUUUAUCAAAAUACUGACAGAAAAUACAGAAAAAAUAAUGCUCUGGCCUUUACUUAGGUGCUCUUGAAAAUGCACGGAAAGAAGCUGAACCCUUUUUCAAAUCAAUUCAUUCCUUACCGUGCAAAGUAUUUGUAGCGAUUCCUUCCAUCAACUUCAGGAUCUUCAUAUACAACCUGAGGCAUCUGAAGAGAAGACUGACCUCUGAAAGCCAAAAUACAGGAUAUCAUUUAGGAAGUACAUUCUGAGCAGUUAUCUUUAUUUCCUAUGCCUUUUUUUUUUCUCUCUCUCCCCUCUGGUUGCACUAUCCAACAUGCACACUACAAACUCCCCCCAAAUCUCACACUUAUACAAGCAAUUAUAUUUUUGUUUUUUCACAUUUACCUAUGCAGCAAAACAGUUUGACACUUUAUGUUUAUUUCCCAUUACAUGUGGUCAAGAAAUGGUCUUUGCGGUGUUUAUUAAAACUUUCUUAUGAGCUUGUUACAAAAAGCAUUAACCACUUGUACAUGCUUGACUUUGUAAAGGAAACCACUUUUAUUGGAAAUGGGGGGAGCAAGCUUAUUUUAAGAGUGAAACAGUUCCCAAAUAUGUGUAAAGACACAGAAUGAGCAAAGGAGAAGAUAUUUUCAACCUCUGAAAAGCAGGUAAAGAUAUUUUGAGCAAAUGUUUAAACAUAUAGAAUCAGCAAUUUCAAUUUGAGUUCUCCAGUAAAGGAGAAAAAUUAGGACAAUCACGGGAAUGUUUCAAAAUCUAUACUGGAACAACCAUAUCUUUUGCAAGAACACUUCUCUUUUUUUUUUCCCCAUUUUGAAUUUUAAUUAGGCAGACUGUUUACAUUUUUCACUCCAGCAUCUUGAAGAGUCUUCUUUAAGGCUUUGGAAGAUCAUGUUGAAAACCUCAUUAAGGCAGUCAGUGAGAUAAUGGGUAAAACUGAGAAAUUUGGAAGUUAUUAAUCAGUAUUGCUAUUUGAUUUCACAAUUGCUUUUUAGAUGACUUACUCAUCUAAACCUGCACAUUUGUUAAAGGCAAAAAGUAGAAGUAAUUUUCAGAGAAGUUGUGGAUGCCCCAUCUCUGGAAGUGUUAGAGACCAGGUUGGAUGGAACUCUGAGUGAAAGGUAUCCGUGCCCAUGGCAAGGGGAUCGGAACUACAUGAUCUUUAAGGUCCCUUCCCUUCCACUCCAGGCCAUUCUAUGAUGAUUUUAUUUCUUUGAGUUACGUAUAAGGCAAGUCCUGAGAGCCAGGUUUUCUGUAAGACCAUUUUUGGCAACUUGUGCGAAUUCUGACCUCAAGAUGUAUGGGCUUGUGGGUACUGGGGCUGGUUGCUGAUGCUUGAUUUUAAUUACAAAGGUAUAUUUACAGAGAUACAAUUAACAAUACUUAACAUCGCUCGACCACUGAGAUCAAAACAGAGGAUUACAUGCUGAGACCAGUUGUCUUCCAAGCCCUCAUCUAAUUCCUGCAAACUGUGCUGUGGAAUCUGAGGAGGCACAGAAUGGCUAUCUGCCACAGGAAAGCUUUGAGCGAGACGCUUCAUUAACCUCCCGUGACACACAAUUUACUGCCAAGAUAGCACAGGGAUGAAGGAAUGUGCAACAUCCACCCUGUAAGAAACAGAUGGGUAACCAUACUCCACAACAGCUGCAAUCUCUUAAUUUCAAGGGAAAUGGAGCAGCCUAGGACUGAGAUGGAGUUUCUACCCAUGUGUAUGCAGAAAAAGACAAGGUCAACAUGUGAGCUGACUUUAGCCAGCACCUACCAGUCUAUCACCAAAUUGAGCAUGGACAUUUGACUUUGGAGGGUCCUUCUCACUUCACAGUGUGUAUAGAGGGUCUGAAAGACAAGUGAACAAGCAGAACUACUUACAUAUUUGAGGAAUCAGCACAAAUCAUCAGGCUCCACUUCCCUCUUUAAAAGUCUGUCUAUAAGACAGUAUAAAACAAACUAAAAAGAAAGAACUGAAAUAUAUGUCUCUGUAUCAAACAGAUGUCACCAUCAUGCAAAUGAGCCUCAGAGCUGAAAUCCUGUUCUGUGGAAGAUACAGGUGAAAAAUCUAGUAGAAAAAUCUGCUUUCUUUGGAGGCGCCAUCAACUUCAACAGAAAAUGCGACGACAUGAAACAUUAAAAGGAAGGCAUAGUGCAACAGUAA